rnacentral:ncRNA from 2 species
AUCCUUUGCAGACGACUU